UCCUUGGUAGUAUACUGGUCAAUACACGCGUUUAUUAUACCCGCUCGUUGAGCAGUGCGUGCCGAAGCUGGGUUCGGCUCCCAGCCAGGGAA